rnacentral:lncRNA from 1 species
AUCACUAGCUAAAGGACUACAUAGAUCAUACCUCUCAUGAUUGGACAAGGGGAAAAGAGAGGAUAGAAUAAUGUUCAUAGAUUGAAAGGACUAAAGAAUAGGAUUAAGCAUUAGCAAUUAUUCUGUACUUACUAUGGGCUAGGCACUGUGCUGGGUGCUAAGAAUAUAGACAAAAACAAUGAAACAAUCCUUGCCCUCUAGCAGUCUGCCUUCUAUUAGGGAAGAUAACAUGUGCAUAUAGAGAACAAAUAUAUGCCACACACAUGUAGAUAAUUGGUAAAGGAAGGAACUGGCAGUUGGGGAAUGGGAAAGGCAUCAUGUGGAAGACAGAGCAGAAGCUGUGUCUUGUCUAUGAGACACAGCCCUGGAUGAUGGCCAGUGUAAAGACAACAAGAUAGGACAAGCAGUACCACGUGGGAACUGCACCAGUCAUUUCCAAUUCUUCAUGACUCCGUUUUGGCAAAAAUACUGGAAUGGUUUGCCAUUUCUUUCUCAUUUUACAGAUGAAGUGACUGAGACAAACUGAGUGAAAUCACUUACCCAAGAUCACACAGCUAAGAACUCUAAUAACAAGGAAUUAAAAAAAAACCAAAGAGGAAGAAGUGGGGGAAAUGAGCAAAACCAAGCAACACAUCAGAAAAGAAAUUUGGAGCUUUAUGUGAGUCCCCCCACACCACCCCUCCCCGCCCUGCCUUUUAUACAGGAAGGGGGAUAUUUUCUGUCAACCUUAUGGUGGUCUUUAUCUAUGAAUAAAAAUGAAUGUGUGACCAGAAUUCCUACUCCAUAGUCAGCUUAGUCCAAGUCUAUCAUUCUAGAAUUAUCUGUUGAUUGAUUACAGAGAUUAGAAUCUCUCAAAUUUUGUACUUCUUUCAGACUGUCCUAAGAGGGCCGUGCAUGUGUGUGUGUGUGUGUGUGUGUGUGUGUGAAUUAGUAAGUCAGUAAACAUUUAUUAAGCACCUACUUUAUGCCAGGCACUGUGUUCAAUGCUAAGGAUAUGGAGAAAGGCAGGAGAAAAUCCUGACUUUCAAAGAACUCACAGUCCAUAGGGGAGGCAACAUACAACUAUGAAUAUGUGAGAUAUUUAUAGGAUAAAUUGGGAAGGAAGGACUAGAAGUAAGAGAAAUCAGGAGAGACUUCCUGUAUAAGUUUUGCAUGUUGCAUAUAUAUGUGCCACUACCAGUGUUUCUUGGUGCCUGUUUCCAUCACCCAUUUCCUCUUUUUCCCUUCUAGGGUCUCUGUGUCUCAGUAAUCCACAAAAGGGUAUUUUCUAGGGUCUGCUCAAAAGGAGAAAAAGAUUAAGAGUCGGAGAACUAGAACCUUGGUUCAAAUAUUGAUCAAUACUUUUGACCUAUGUGACCUUGAGCAGUCAGUCAUGUAAAGUACCUCCUAUGUGCCAGGCACUGUGUUCAACCCUAAUAAUACAAGGAAAGGCAGAAGACAAUUCCUGUCUUCAAGGAGCUCACAAUCUAGUUGAGGAGAUGAUAAGCAAAUAAAUAUAUACAAACAACCUUUCA